rnacentral:rRNA from 1 species
GAUGAACGCUGGCGGCAGGCCUAAAACAUGCAAGUCGAACGCCCUAGCAAUAGGGAGUGGCAGACGGGUGAGUAACACGUGGGAACGUGCCUUUUGGUUCGGAACAACACAGGGAAACUUGUGCUAAUACCGGAUAAGCCCUUACGGGGAAAGAUUUAUCACCAAAAGAUCGGCCCGCGUCUGAUUAGCUAGUUGGUGGGGUAACGGCCCACCAAGGCUACGAUCAGUAGCUGGUCUGAGAGGAUGAUCAGCCACACUGGGACUGAGACACGGCCCAGACUCCUACGGGAGGCAGCAGUUAGGAAUCUUGGACAAUGGGCGCAAGCCUGAUCCAGCCAUGCCGCGUGAGUGAUGAAGGCCUUAGGGUUGUAAAGCUCUUUCAGCGGGGAAGAUAAUGACGGUACCCGCAGAAGAAGCCCCGGCUAACUUCGUGCCAGCCGCCGCCGUAA